rnacentral:lncRNA from 10 species
GGCAAAUGUUAACUCCAUCCCCCACCCACAGCCGGGUCUUGGUAGGGAGAGGGUGAAAUGAUGGACUAGGAGAGAUUUGGGUUCCUUGGACAGAUCUUGCCUUUUCCAGCAAGGUUGGGUUACAUGCCCUCUCUCUCUCAGCUCCUGGAAUUCCCCCUUGGCUUGCUACUGUUCUGAGAUGAAGUAAACUGGGUGAUUCUAAGAAUGGGCCUUGAGUCUGGCAAACCCAUCUGUUUCUUCCUAGCUAUGGGCCCCUGGCCCUCACCUCCCGCUUCUCAGUUUCUUCACCUGGAAAAUGAAGAUGACUAAGGAACCUGGGCCUUGGAAGGUUCUGGGAAUUCAGUGGAGUCAGGUAUGCCCGGGGCUGGCACAAAGGUGGGGCUCCAGAAGAGAUGCUAGCUGUGAAUAACAUGCCCGUCACUGCCUUCUGUUGUAACUGGCUGUGAAACGUCUGUCUUCUGCCAGACUAGGCUUCUAAGAUUUAAAUAGAUUUUACUGCGACAGGGGAGACCCCACCAAGCAGGGCCAAUAUAUGUGGUCCCAGGAGGUCAAGAAAUGGUGACUUUCCGUAUCCACUCCCGUCUUUCACUGCACGAAGCCCUCGGAAGAUUAUUCUAUAGCAGUACGAUGACAGCAUCCUCCUUCUAGGAACUACAUCGUCUUCCGUCUCUGGAUGUGCCAUCUUUUACUCAGCUAGUCUACAUCUCAGGUGUUCCCCAUCUUCUGCACACAAGUAUUUGCACAUGCGUGCACGUUCUUCAUUUGUGUAUUAUCUACGGCCCAGUUCUUGCUGCAGCAGCGGAAUCGAGAAGCUGCGGGAGAGACCCCGCAGCCUGCAAAGCUGAAAAUAUUUACUUCCUGGCCAUUCACAGAAAAUGUUUGCCAACCCAUGACCUAAAGCAUCAUCUCUCAGAGGGUUGGGAAGGAACCUGGAAGCUGUCCCAUUCAGAGGCGGGAGCUUCAACGGGACCCUGCGUCUUCUGCCUCCAAGGCCUGUGGUAGGGGCUGUCACAGGCUGCAGAGGAGUCCAGGAGGGAGAUGCUACAGGUAAGGCAGGAGGAUGGAGAAGAGAGAACAGACUUGAACUAGACUUAGGGUCACACCAGCAGCUGUGAGCAGCUGACGAGUGUUCCAGUGCAAGGAGAGGAGGGUGCAAGAGCCAGGGAUUAUACACUGAUUAGCCUCCAUCACCGCAGAAAUUAUCUUGCCUGUGCAUGGUGCGAGGGUCUGGAACAUACAUUUAACCAAGGCAAGGAGCGAAGUGAGAGGAAGCAAUAUUGUGGAUUGCAGGAGGUGAUGGAUGAGAUGAGAGAAGAAUCUGCAUGGUCAGAAUCUGUUUGGCAUCGGAAGGGAAGUACCCAGGAAAUUUGAGGAUCGCCUCGUCCAGUUGUCUGUGGAACUGAACUGUGAGUUGUCCAUGAGGGAUGAAUGGCAAUGCCAAUGUUUCCAGAGUUUCUGUCAUGAGGUCUCCUGGCUUGGAGAUGGAGAGGGCACACACAGGUUUCGGAUUCAAGCCUGCAGGACAGUCCUGGCUGCACCACUCAGGAACCCUGGGUGAGUCUCUUUACCCCUCACAGCCUCAGUUUUCCCUUCCUGGAAAUGGGACCACAAUCCAAACCUUGUAGAACUGCUUCAAAGAUGAAAGGAGACAUCGCAUGUGAGAUGCCGGCCCAUAGGAGCCAGGGCACGAAAGGCAGCUCCGCAUUGGGUCCCCAAAAAGUCUCCGCAGGUUGGCAGCCAAGAGAGCUACCAUUUCUUUGUUUGGAGAGAUUCCACUCCCUGGAAAGGGUAAUCCUGCAGGAAAGGAGGAGGGAGUCGUUCCAGAGUUUGGGAGAUGUCGGCUUUGACUCUGAGUGAUGCCGCCUCAAACACUUACUGUCAUACAGGAAGUUACUCAAACACAAUCAAUUAGACACCCAUAUUAGCAUAUUUGUCAUUGUAAUACAGCCGCAGAGAGGAGAUGCUGGAGACUGUUUAUUGCUGUUCUGAGCUAAUAUUUAUUAAAGUGAUUAAUAUGUUUUUCAAAUAUCUGUGACAGGCGUGGCAGGAAUUACUGAUCUCCUCCCUCGAGAGCCUGAAAGGGUGAGGGGUGGGAGUCACUUAGAGAGGGGCGGCAGGUAGGGGCCUUGGGGCCUCAGGGGACCGUGUCCUCCUCUGGGGCCCCUUUCCUGCUCGGGCCUCCUGCCUUCCAUCUUCCCCUGUCUCCUCCACCUUCAACUUCCCCUGUCUCCUCUCCUCCACCUUCAACUUCCCCCUCUACUGACCGUUCCCAUCGGCAUUCUGAGACAUCUCCCACCAUGACAAAUAGAGACCUCCCAGGAUGCCCUGUCCCCCUGCUCCUUCCUGGACCCCCUCAUCCCCAGCCAUUCUGCCAUCUUCCUCCUUCCCUCCAUAGCCAAACUCUUCAAAAGAACUCUUUUCCCUCCCUACCUCCUUUGCUCAUCUUCCAGUCUCUGCUUUUUAAAAAUCAUUACAAAAAAUUAAAAGUGGCUGGGCGCGGUGGCUCACACCUGUAAUCCCAGUACUUUUGGAGGCCAAGGCGGGAGGGAAUAACCUGAGGUCAGGAGUUCGAGACCAGCCUGGCCAACAUGGUGAAACCCUGUCUCUAUUAAAAAUACAAAAAUUAGCAGGGUGUGGUAGCUGGUGCCUGUAAUCCCAGCUACUCAGGAGGC